ACGUCCGACCAUUAAAAAAUAAUCAUCGGCUACACAUGUAGAAGCUCGCGGGGACAGCGAUUAGGACAGGGGUUCAACUCCCCUCGCCUCCAA
rnacentral:tmRNA from 1 species